ACCCAGCUGACGAGUCCCAAAUAAGACGAAAUGUGCAUCCUGGAU
rnacentral:hammerhead_ribozyme from 1 species